rnacentral:lncRNA from 1 species
CGUUCCCUGACCCUCGGCGUGUCGGGGAGAGGAGGAGGAGGGAGAGAAGUCAGUGAGUGGAGGAAGCUGGGAGGGAAGAAGACGGUGUGUGUCGAGGGAGAAGGAGGAGGGAAAGACGUUGUGGAGGACGUUUGUGUCGGGUAUCAUCAGCAGCACCCGGCACACGAGAUUUCGUGUCGCCAAGAAAGGAUUUUUGAAAGGGGCCUCGUGGCCAUUGUCGCAAGCUGAAAGAGCCACGUGCUGGAGACACGUCAAAGCACGAGCCGACACGCCACCUGAGACGGAGAUCCACGUGUGACCUUUCUGCUUCAACAGGUCCAUGGUUAUGGUCUGCAGCGCGUGCAACCCGACGACGAGAGUAGCGGGGCCUGCACUGAACUGCGCCUCACCUCCUGUGCAAUCCUGGCUCCAACGACAUGGCCGUUGCAGGUAAAUUCACCGCAC